UUUCUUUUCUCUCGCAACCCAAGUACCAACUUUACGUGACAUUUUGGCGAUCCGUGCCAGGAUCCAUCAACUUCAAGAAAACGAAAUUACGCAUUUCGGCAUACGUGCAUCAUUGAAGAUUGAGGGAUCAGCGGACCUCUGCAGAUCAGCUCACUUUGCGUGAAAACGACUUCUACGGAAAGCGGAGUACGGUCAUCACCAAAACUGAAACUGGUCACGAAAAGAAGAAUAUUCAGGUAAAGAACUGGAUUCUUUUAAAUAUUAUCGUACUCGUCGCAAUAGCUUCGCUAGUACAGACUCCAACAACAGUACAAUAACCACUAUGAGCAAAAAAUCAGAAGACACAUCUUCUGUUAGCCCUAUGGCUACUGCUGUGGAUCCAAGUAUUCGGGUCAUACUAGACGCUAUGCAGAAGCAGAACGAAAUCAAGUUAAGAAAACUGUUAAAGGAGACUAUUAAAGCAGCGACUAGUCGGAGUUAUCAGGGUAGUUUAGUUUCUAAUAAUUUGAACAAAAGCUUGGAGAAAACAGACGUUACUGUAGGAAAUGAAGAAAUGGUUUUGAAAGAAUUUUCAAAAGAAUUGCAGUCUAAUGUAGAAAAUUCUUAUGAAAAGAAAGUAUCAAUUGACACCGCUUCACAGGAUUAUAUUUUCAUUAAAACAGACUUAAUGUUUGAUGUCAAUAGCUCAACAGAAUACCAGAAAGAGUCUGUGAAACGAAGGAAAGAAGAUAUUGCAGUAUUGUAUAAUGAUUUGUCACCAUCUUCGUCACAAGAUACUCAAAAUUUACAAGAAUGGUUUGACAAAAAAAGUAAAAGUUUAGGAGAAGCAGAAAAAGAUCAUAACAAGAAGGAUAAUAUUUCAAUGAGAAAUAUUUUGGACGGCGAUACAAAUAAAGAAAACCAAAUUGAAACGAAGGAAUUAGAAGCAGUUAGUACAUCAACUGCUGAAAAUGAUACAAAAUCAAUAGACAACGUUGAACAAAAUAUAUCAUUAGAAUCCAUACAAAAAGCAAGAGAUAAUGCUUACAAUAAUGAACAUUUGCUUAUAGAAGAAGACCAAAUGAUGACAGCGAAAAAUGCGUGUGACACUACAGAAUCAAAAACUUCAGCAGAUCUUAUGUCGAGAAAUUUAGAUGCUAAUACACAAGAGAAGUCUUUAGAGAAUAAAGAUGACAAGAAUCCAUCUCCAUCUAUGUUAGAUAGUAGUAAACGGAGCAGUCGUUAUAAUGUUGCUGCAAAGCCUGCUACUUCGCCAAAAUUUGAAGAAAUUGUUUAUAAUCAAACCAGACAAUCAAACACAAAUAAAAUUUUGCGAAGCGCUUUAAAGACGAAAUUAAUCGAAGACAAGUCUGAAAUAAUUAAUAAACAAAAGGCAUCGGAAAAUGUAGAAAAUAAAUUUGCCAAAGAAGAAAAAAGAGGUGUUAAACAAAAAUCAAUUUCAGAUAGUGAAAACGAAACAACUGAUACUCGUCAACGAAGGGAAGUUCUUUUAACGAACACAGCUAGUGAUAGCGAUAGGUAUAAAUCUGUAGAAAAUGAUAAUGCAGUAACGGGUGUAAUAGCAACUGAUGAAGCGAAACAUAGAGGCAGACCUAGGAGAUCGGAUAAAGUCGAAGUUAAAAAAGAUGAAGAUACAAGGAAGAUCCUACAAAAUGAGAAGGGUGGAUUAGAAGAACAAAGAAAACUCGAAGAAGAUACAAAAGAAGAAACUACAGAGACAGAAGUCAAUUCAAAAGGUAGAAGCCGCACUCAAAAUGAUAUGGAAGAUGUAGUAGAAGAUUCACAAGAAUUAUCUAAUAAAAGUAAGUUAUCAGAAAUAAGGAUUGCACUUAACAAAAUUGAAUAUACAAAAACUAUUUUACGGAAUAAAAAGAAUUCAUUAGAAAGAGAAAGAGGAGCAAGGGAAAAGAAGAAAAUGUACAGACAGAAAUUAUUUCAAAAAAUAUAUCAGAUGAUAAAUGUGAUUUGCUUUAGAAAAAAAAAAAAAAAAUAUUAUCCACAAACUACAUUAGGAAUUUAUCUAUUUUAGUGAGGAGAAAGAGAAAGAAUAGAGGAGUUGAUCAAUAGACUGUGGAUUUUGAAGCGUUUAUGAAAAACUUACAAUUUUAAUAAAAUAUUCAAUGUAAAGUCUUUGUUAUAAUAUUCAGAUAGAUAGAUGAAAAAAAAACUGAAUUUGCAUAAUUACUCAUGGCUUAUUGAUCAAUCAUGCGACUCGUUCAGAGGUAACUCGAGUUGUAAAGGCGACAAUUUAUUAAAAAUGGUAUAUCUGACGUACGAUGCAUUUGCUCAUGUUAAACUAUUUAAAUAAGUAUAAAAAUCACGCGAAAAAAAAUCUACUGAAAAUAAUGUUGAACUAGUUAAUAAUAAUAAAUCAUAUAGUGAAACACAAACCUUAAAUCAAGAUUUUAAGUUCAAAAAAAAAAAAAAAAAAAAAAAAGAAAAGAAAAAAGAAGAAAGAAGUUGAUAAAAUGACAGCAACAUGUAGCAGUAGGCGAGAGAAAAUAAGCCAAAUUUCUAAAAGAAGAAACGAUGCUCAAGAACUUGAAAUUUCUCGAGUGGAUAUGCUAAACAACGAAUUUAAUGAACAGUUGAAAGAACGUGAAACAGCAAUAGAAGACUUACAUCAAAUGUUAAAGCAUCAAUCGGAAAUUCAUAAAGUUACCUUAAAUGAAGCAAGUUUGAAAAUAGGAGAACUUUCUGAUAAAAUUAAAUGUUUUAAAGGAAAAGAUAGCCAGAUACCGAAACGUAAUAAAUUACUCGAAGAAGAACAGAAUAAAUGGAGAAGUUUAGACAAAAUGAUUACAGAAAAACUUGAAGAAGAAAAAUCCCGUUAGGAAACAGCUGAAGACGAAGUGAGAAAGCUUUCCAAAUAUAACGAGCAACUUCUAAAAGAUUAUCAAGAAAUCCAUAAAAAAAAAAAAAAAAAAAAAAGAUGAGAAAUUUCAAGAAGAGCAAGCAGAGAAUACAACUGAGAUUGGAGAUCAUUCAAAAUAUGCAGGUGACACAUCUUUAGAUAAAGAAAGUACGAAUGAUGUUGAAAUAUUUAAUACAAAUGAGGGUGAACAAAACAUUGAGAAACACAACGUUUGCACAGUGUUAAAUAUAGAUACAGUUAGUGUUACUAAUGCUCAGUGUCAAGCAUUAAUUAAAACACUUGGUGAAACUUUUGAUGAUAAAGCCCAAACAUUGCAUGUCACGGAUACAGACACAGAUUUGUCUAAACUAGUUGAUAGUAGUUCAGAAGUAAUGGUACUGACUGUAGAAACUAUUAUAUUAAUGAUAUGAAUGAAAGUACAGAAGAAAAUAUUAUUUUAACUGUACAUGAAAAGGAUGCUGUUGUAAAUUCCAAUGAAGAAAAAAAUGUUUCUGCAGAACAAAAAGGAACGAAGAACGCUGAAAUUGCAAAUGAAAAAUUUAAUUUGGUAGAUUAUGCAUGAGAAUGUGAUGGAACAAUUAUAGAAGUAAUGUCAACAGAAAUUGUUUCUUAAGAAGUUUCUGAAAAUUGUAGCCAGAAAGACAAUUAUGACGUAUUAAAUCAUACAAAGACAAGGAACGAUUUUAUAACUCCUAUUACCUCAGGAGCAAUUAGUGAUCUAGAAACUGCAGAUGACAUUGAUAUUAAAGAAAAGAAUAACAAGAAACAACAAAUGGAAAUGGCAAGAUUGAUCUUUUGAUAAUUCACAUAAAAUUAAUGUAGAAAAGAAAAUUAUUCAUAAUAAAAUUGUCGUACUUAUACAUGUUGCUAAUACAGAAGGAAGGAAUAAAUCUAUAAGUGAAGCAGAUAAAGUGCGCAUAACUAACAAAAGAAGUGCAAUUCAGGAUAUCUUUGAUGAUUGGGGUGUUGAAAAUGCAGAAGAUGAUAGUCAGUCGGUAUCCAAAGCUCCAGAUACUGUGCAAAUUGAAUUGAAAAGUUUACUAAAUGACACAAAAACACGAACUACAGAGGAAAGCACAGUUGUACUGGUCGAAGAAGAAAUUACAUGCAUGGAAAAAGAACCAGUUGUAGAUGCUGAAAAGGCUUUAGAAGUUGCUAAACAAAACAAAGAAAUGCAAGUAUCAAAGGAACAACUGGAUAACAAUCGAACUAUAAAGAAACAACAAGAUAGUAUAAAACCAUUACUCAAAGACCACUAACUCAUUCUAUAUCACAGGCUGUUAGAAAGUCUACAAAAGAUUCAACACGUGAUACUGCGGCAUUUCGUCAAACUUCGCAAAUUAUCCCUAUUAAUCGUAGUCGAAACUUAACCAGCCAACAACCUUCACAGGUUGAAAUAGCAAAAGCAUAUACCACGACGAAGAAGAACAAGUACAAGUCAAGCCAGUCAGAGUCCAAUUCCAUCGCUCCAUACUGAGGAAACACUAAGAUUUUGGAGGACCAAAAUCAAUCUAAAGAGGGGGGUAUGUGACAUCAAUCACAUCUCAACCUACAUCAGUGAUAAUACAUCGACACCCGACCUUCGGACACUUUUGGACACAUCACAACCUUAUCAUCAUAGCAUACACCAAGGCUGUGACGCACUUCAGUCCACAUCAGAGAUAGGAUAUGGACCCCCGACCUUCGGACACUUUUCUACAUCAUAACCUACACCUAGCCCAUCAACAUCCUAAAACCAAAACGUAUAUAAACCGAGACUUCACCCAGCUCGGGCAGUUCUUGUUCCUCUUCUAGUUGCUGUACUCAUACAACCCCUAUUCUCCGAUUCGGUGUUAUUUUGUGUUUAUAAUAAAGUUUUAUAAAGGAAAAUAAGUAGUUGGGUUACGACUCAGCCUUCUUACUACCACCCAAGUACCAACUUUACGUGACACAGGCGCGUGCCAACUUGUCCUUGCUGAAGUUGCAUCUGCGAUGUAUCUGGUAACUUCCUUGCUGAUGCCAGUGAAUCGUUCAAGGCGCGUGGCAACUUAGUAUUUGCCGAGUCUUCUUAUGCGUUAUUUCCUGUUUCUUUCAAUAAAAUAUCAUUUUUUUUUUUAUAAUAGUAAGUUUAAUAUAUUAUUUCAUGGUUUGUUUCUCACGGCUAGUUUCUAUUAAUUUCUAAUAUUCUUGCGUUACGUUGUAUUGAUCAUUAUUUAUUCUUUCUUUGUUACGAUCUUCCAUUUUUAUUAUCAUUUAUUAAAUAUUUAUUCCUUCGCUGAAAAUAUGAUUUAUUUUGUAACGCAUAAAGGUUACUAUAUGCACGUGUUGAUUAUCCAAAAUGGCCGCCUGUAAAUGUUCGUAGUAUAUAGUGACAUUUUAUUAAUGUGAAAUGUAUUAUUUAUCCGUUAAUUAUUUGUGACUUUAUUUUAAUAGUUGACGUAUAAUUGCAGUGGGAAUAAUAUUAUUUUGCAUUUAUUUAAUGUGCGUAAUUAUUGCAUGUAUUCCGAUGCGCACUUGUAAGAGCUAUCAUAACAGUCCAAGAUGGCCGCUCGUGAAUGUCUCUAGUGAAAGUAUAGUGACGCGUCCUUAAUUUGUUUAAUACUGAAAUAAUUAUUCGUCCGUCGCUUAUUUUCCUCUAUUUUAGCGCAGUUCUACAAUUCUAAUCCUUCAUCGCUGAGUCCUUUACUUGGAAUGGUUACAUGGUGCGCGUUUGUAUCUUUUGGUUCUUCGUUACAUGUCUAACACUUAUCAAGACUACUUUUACUUAUCCUAGAAUUUUUCUUGUUGCUGUCUUGACUGUUUCGAUAGUAUCUGGUUCAGUAUUCCAUAAGUAUUCACUUAAGUUUGGUAGUAGGCUUCUUGUAACUGCGUCGACUUUAAUGUAUAUCUUCCGAUGUGAGUAACGAGCUUCUUAUUAUUAUCAAUUUCUAUUCCAAGAUGGUUUACAACAUUCUUCCCCUUUUUAGGUUAUAAUUGGUUACCUCGGUAUUUAUUACCUUCGAUAUCUUCAUACUAUCGUGUAUUAUAUUUUGCAAAGACGGAUCCAUAGCCCAUUCUCGUGGAGUUCCUGCAUGCACACUUCCUUUAACGAUGAUUGGUUGCAUACAAACCUCGUUAACUUAUAAGAUACCUUUUCUUGUUUGCUAAGACCAUUCCGUCGGUGUUGAAUCGUUUGUUAUAAUGUCACUAAUUUUUGACUUUCCAAUUUUCUCACGUCCUCUUGAUCAUUCCAGUAAUAUCAACUUCGAUUCUUCGUACACAUUUACUCCAAUUUGGUAGUUGGUUUCUCAUCACUGCGUUGACCCUUGUAUAAACUUCUUUGAUGUGAGUAGUAAAUUAUCGUGAGUAGUAAAUUACUCACUUAACCUAUCUUAGUUAUUUCUUAACUCUUCCUGCACUUAUUAACUGAUUUUAUUUCUUCUUAUUAAGGACCGCUAUGUCAACGCUGAGUUAUUUCGUUAUAAUGUCACUAACUUUCUUGAUUUUUUCGGUUUUAUUUUCCAUUAGCGAACUGUAAGUUUGUUGUCGAGCAUCAAUUAUUGAUUGUUAUCGUGCUUCAUUUAGUUUAAUUGAAAUAUAAUUAUAAAUUUUUAAUAGUAUUAUUUUCUUCCAUAUAUAUUAAGGUAAUUGAGGUUAGUUUAUUUAUUCGUUUCUGCUGACAGUCGUAUACUAUGUUCUACGGAGUGGAUCCACAACUUGUUUCUGCGAAAUUCCUGCAUUUGGCUGUCAUACCUUGUGUUCUACGGAUAUGGACACAUAACCUGUCUUCGCAUAUACACUUCCCUCUACAAUGAGUAAUUGUUCACGAGGUUACCACUAUCUGCAGUAUUCGACAAGCAGUGUUGUUCCAUAUACUAUCAUACUACGUUGUCUCUUGAAAACGUCUUGUGGUCUGUUUCGAUUGUGUUAGUUUUAACUUGUUCAAGUGUAUUGUUCGUGGAAUCCCUUUUACUUUAAUCUUGACGUUUCGUGUGUGGAUUCUGACAAUAGUGCCUGGUUUAUUGAAGUGUGUUAAUAUACCUAGGUGUUUUAUAUAUUUUAUAUCUAGUUGUAUAUAAGAUAUAUUUCGUUUAUUGUGGUUUUGUAUGUCCAUUUUACUGUAUAUUAAAUUGCUUGAUACUUCCUGUUUGUUAUAAAGGUGUGUAUUCCUAUCGUUCCAUUCCUUUUUCUUUUCCUUUGAAUUAUUCAUGAAGUUAUUACGAGAUUUGAUUAAAUUGUCGAAUUGUAGGUUAUCCUGAUUGAAUAUAGUAUUAUGUCGUGAUUUAUUAAUUAA